UCAAAAAGCGGGUGGAGCUAGGGAUGUGACUGAGUGGUAGAAUGCUUGCCUAGCAUUCAGGAAACCCUGAGUUUGAUCAUUGCAAAAAUAAAAUAAUAUUUAAAAAGCAGGGGGAGGGAGAAUGGAUAUUCACAGGCAAUUAGAUAACUCUGCCAUCAUAUAAAUCCUUCUUAAUCCUUUUCUAUAAAUUUAAAUAUUUAAAUUAUCUAUACAUAUAUAAAAAUGGUCUAACAUGUUAAAGGUACCUUGUUUUAAUUUACAUUUUAAAGGUUUAUCAACCAGCUUACAUACCCUCUGGAGAUGGAACCUAGAGGUGCUUUAUCACUGAGCUACAUCCCCAACCCUUUUAAUUUAUUUUAUUUUUAUUUUUCAUUUUGAGACAGGGUCUUGCUAAAUUGCUGAGGCUGGCUUUGAAGUAGUGAUCUUCUUGCCUCUCCGCCUCCUAAAUUGCCGGAAUUUCAGGGCUGUGCCACUGUGAUUGGCUUCCAUUAGAUAUUUGUUUAGUAAUUAUUGUGUUGUGUACACAUUUAAGCUCUUUGUUUAUUUAGCCAGUUAGAGCCUGCUUUCUUUUUUUCUUUUCUUUUCUUUCUUCUUCUUCUUUUUUUUUUUUUUUUAGUAUGAGGGAUUGAGCCCGGGGACACUUAACCACUGACCCACAUCCCUGGUCCUUUUAUUUUUGAUACAAGUUGCUAAGUCUGGCUUUGAAUUUGCGAUCCUCCUGCUUCAGCCUCCAGAGCCUCUAGAUACAGGCGUGUGCCACCGCACUGCCCGCUUGAUGAUUUCCUGAUCAAGUCAAAUGGACUGUCUAGAUAGAUUCAUUAAUUGAUAGGUAGAUGUUACAAAUAUAUUAACUCCUUGUCUUCCUUGCUGCAUAUAGUGCUUCUGAUAAGCUUCUCUUUUAUCUUUCAUGGAUUGUUCCUUUUCGGAAGUGAGUUUUCUACAAUGUUAACCAUAUUUAUAUAGUUGAGUGUUAUCUGUUGUCUGUGACUUUUUCUAUCAGUCCUAGUCUCAGGCAUAUUUGUUCCACCUCCAGGGAUAUGGUCAUUGUUUAAGUUUCCAUUCUCCUCCCAAGAGCGUCAGGAUAAGGUUGACAGUAGGUUCACCUAGAUCCAAAUCUCCACUCUGUCACUUCCCAUCUGCAUGAUUAGCUGGGAUACUCCCUUCUUCUGAGUUCCGAGUUUCCUGACUAGUGAAGGGGUGGGACGAGCCUUGGAUCCUCAAACUUGUCUAUGCAUCAGAACCACUCAGGCUCCAUAAAAUGCCCAUUCCUGCCUGCCCCCUGCCCUGCAUCUGUAGAAUCCAAAUCCCUAGACCCAGGAAUCUGUAUUUUUCAAAGGUCUCUAGUGAGUCCACUGCUCAGGCCUGUUUCAGAAUCACAGGACCAGCCUGGCUACCUGCACCCUGCUGAGUAGUCACUGAGGGAGCUGGGGGCAGCAGUCCUAGGCCACUGUGUCCCCCAGAGCCAGGUGGCCCUGCCUCUUCCUCUUGGUGGGGGCUCCCAUUUCACAUCCAGCCUGCACAGCAGCUUCUGCUCCCUGCUUCCUCAGGGCAGUAGAGAGGGGUGUUUAGGAUCCCGGAGAGCUGCCAUAGCCAUGCCUCUGGGAGGGGCCAGGGCCACCUACUAGUUGGGUGACCCAAGCUACUCACCCUGUGAGUCUCAAUUUCCUCCCUGUUGAAAGCAGAGACAGUUCCCUUCCUUCAAGGCUGUUGUAAGGUUGGCGAUGAUGGAUGGCUGGGCGAUGAUGGAUGGCUGGGCGGGAAGAGCCUAGAGCAGUUCCUGGCUCAAAAUGUGCUUGUGACACUUGUCGUGAGGAUUACUGUUGGUGUUGUCAUUGUGAUUUACAGCUGCAGGGGAGGAAAAAAGUGCACCUCGACUCUCAUGGGGUUUGUGGGUUGGGCCUGAGAAUUAAACUGAAGUACGACAGAUUGACAGGAGAAAACACAAAGGAACACAAGUUUAACUUGCACCAGGAAAUGGAGGCCAAAGGCCGAGAGCUGAACGCUGCCUGAACUGGACGAAGAGUAGUAAAUGAUGAAUGGGGCAAGGCAGAGGGGCUUGGGCAGUUAGUUGGGUGGAGAAGUGACUAGAAAGAUGAAGGUUUGUAUCCUUCUCCCUUGACCUCAACUUUCUAUCCUUGAUGACAAUGAUUUCUAGAAUAAAGAGGACCUCUUCCACAUGGGAGUGUCACUUACUGCCUUUUUUUUUGGGGGGGGGGUUCUGGGGCUUGAGCCCUAGGCCUGCUAGAAGGCACCCUACCACUGAGCCACACCCCCCACCCCAGCUUGUCAUCCUCUACUUUUAAGAAGAACAAGGAAGGUCAGGUCAGAGUGAUCUUCUUGCACCUGCAGUUUCUCAAGUGCCUUCACCUGAAAACAGUCAAUAUGCCAGAGAGGGAUAUUUUGGGGUGGCGUGUUCUUAACUGCUUCUCAGUGUCCUGGGCAUGUUUGCUCUAGGGAAUGAGCAUCCCCAACAGGAAUUUCCUGGUGCCUGACAAGACAGACAGAGACCUAUAAUUUCCCUGUGAUGUUGAAACUUGUCAGAAGGAAGCCCUGGGCUUCUGGAAAUUUUUCUCCCUGGCUCAGAGUAGAACUUGCAGCCUUCUGGGAGGCUGGGAGGGUGUUUGCCACGGUGCCAGCUAGCCACCUCCAGGCGACUGGCACCCACACUGUGUGACUCCUCAUACCAGUGCUCCUUGCCUUCCCUCAACAGGUCUGACAGGAAUGGCCCCUUUCCUCAGGUGGUUGAUCAAUCCAGGUAGGGACAUCCCCACUUGCCACCCAGACCCCUGAUCCCUGGGAUGCCCAUGAGUGUGCCUUGCUCUGCUUCUGGAUUAGGUCUCUCCUGGUGCCCUUCCUAGAACCUAGGGCCUUCUUACCUGCAUUCCUGCCAUUUUGACUCUGCCUGGGGCAACUGCCUGCCCUUGAACUUGACCAACUUACACAGGCCUCACAUCCUCUGCGGAGCUUUCUUACUGUAAUUAAGACCCCAGCGAGAGGCCAGAGCCCUUUAUUGAGGGUCUUAGCAGCAUCAAUGUGGUCUCAGCCACUUUAGAGCGUUGAGGAAGUUGUCAUGGAAACGCCCCUGCUCCUAGCCCCACCAAACAUGGACCCUUUAAUCUUCAUGAACAGCAAAAGAGCUAUGCAAAAUGUUGAACUGACAAUCCUAAUCUUGAGCAAGGUUGGGAGGUCCUGGGACAAUGUGGGGGUCCCACUCGUGCACCCCAGCUUGAGUGGUUGGACUGAGGCCGAAUUGAGAUCCCAGUUUUGCUGCCCAUUUGCUGCUAAUCCUCUUAGACUUAGCCUUUCUGUGCCUCAAUUUUUUAUCCUGAAAAAUGGGGAUGUUAAUAAUAUUCCCUAUGUGAUUGCUGUGAACAUUUAAGAAGUUAGUACUUUCCAGGAUCAGUGACGCAUGCCUCUAAUCCCAGCUAUUCAGGGAGUUGAGGCAAGAAGAACACAGGUUCAAGGCCAGCUGGGCAAUUUAGUGAGACCCUCUCUCAAAAUAAAAAGGGCUAAGGCUAUAGCUCAGAGGUAAAACUCUUCUGAGCUCAAUCCUGAGUACCACAAAAAAGGGAAAAAAGGAGGAAAAAGGUAUAACUCAUUAUUAAAACAAAGAAAAAUAGGUUAAGUUGGAUUUUGCCAAAAUUUUUAAAUUUUACAUGUUAAAGGACGCUGUCAAGAAAGUAAAAGAAGUCAGGCACGAUGGCACAUGCUUAUAAUUCCAGUUGUUUGGGAGGUUGAGGCAGAAGGAUCAAAAGCCUGAGGCCGGCCAGGGCAAUUUAGUGAUACCCGGUCGCAAAAUAAAGGAAAGGUCUGGGGAUAUAGCUCAGUGUUAGAGCACUUAACUAGCAUGUGCAAGGGCCUGGGUUAGAAAAGAGAAGAUAAAUUUACAGAAGAUAUUGCAAAUCACAUUUCUGAUAAGGGUUUACUAUCCACUAUAAAUAAAGAACUUCAGCUCUACAAUAAAGACAGUCCCAUUAAGAAACAAGCAAAGGUGUCAGGUGUUGUAGUACACCCCUGUAAUCCCAAAGACUCGGAGGCUGAGGCAAAAAGAUCACAAGUUUGAGGCCAGUCUCAGCAACUGAACGAGACCCUGUCUCAAAAUUUAAAAAAUAAAAAGGCUGGGGAUGUAGCUCAGUGGUAAAGUGCCCCUGGGUUCAAUUCCUGGUACCAAAAUAAAUAGAUGAGCAAAGGCUUUGAAUAGACAUUUCUAAUAAUAAACACAAAUGGCCAACAAACACAUGAAAAGAAGCUGAACAUCAUUAGCCAUGAAGGAAAUGUAACUCCAGACCAGAUAUUACUACACACUUAGGAUGGGCACAGUAUGGGUUUUUGUUUUGUUUCUUUUCUUUUCUUUUUUUGGUACCAGGGAUUGAACUCGGGGGCACUCAGCCCCUGAACCACAUCCCCAGCCCUUUUUUGUAUUUUAUUUAGAGACAGAAUCUCAUUGAGUUGCUUAGGGCCUUACUAAGUUGUUGAGGCUGGCUUUGAACUCAUGAUCCUCUUGUCUCAGCCUCCUGAGCCGCUGGGAUUAUGGGUGUGUGCAUCACCGUGCCCAGCUACAGUAUAUUUUUAAAGAAAAAGAAGUGCUGGCGAGUAUGUGGAGAAGUUGGAACCUGUGGAUGCUGCUGAUGGCAAUGUAAAUGGUGCCACCUGUGUGGAAGUCAGCCUUGUAGUUCCUCAAAAAAUUAAACCUAGAGUUACCAUGUAACCCGGCAACUCUAGUCCUGCACCCAAGAGAAUGAAAAACAUAUGGUCACACAAAGCCUUGUACACCAAUGUUCAUAGCAGUGUUCUUCGUAAUAGCCACAAAAUGGCAACAAUCCAGUGCCCACUGACUGAUGAGCGGGUAAAGAAAAUGUGGUCUAUCCAUGCUAUGGAAUAUUAUUCAGCAAUAAAAAGAAAUGAUGUCCAUACAAUGUGGAUGAACCUUGAAAACAUUAUGCUAAGUAAAACCAGGCACAGAAGGCUACUUAUUGUAUGAUUUCAUAGACACGAAAUGUCCAGAAAGAGACAGAAAGUAGAUUAGUGGUUUUCAGAGACUAGGAAGGAAGAAGGAAUUGGAAUGACUAAUGGGUAUAGGGUUUCUUUGAGGGUGAGGGAAGUGUUCUGGAAUUGGAUAGUGGUGAUGAUUGCACAACCUUGUGAAUACUCUAAAAAAAAAAAAACCUGAAUUGUACACUUUAAAGUGGUGGAGUCUGUGUUAUAUAAAAUUUUAUGCUAUGUGAAUUGUCUCAUUUGUUUAUAUAUUCAGCACUGGGGAUUGAACCCAGGGAUAUUUUACCACUGAGCUAUAUUCCCAGCCCUUUUUUAAAAAAAAUUUAUUUAUUUAGAGACAAAAAUCUCACUAAGUUGCUAAGGCUGGCCUCGAAUUUGUGGUCCUCCUGCCUCAGCCUCCUGAGUUGUUGCCACUAAGCCCAGCUAUCUUAACUUUUUUUAAAAAAAAUUGAAUCAGUACAAUAAAAUGUUCAGAAGGCUGCUCAGUUCACGUAAACCCUCAGUAGUUAGUUGCCAAUUUGAGGGUUGGUCCAGGUAACACAGAAAGGAAAAACAAUUCUAAAUGGAGCAUUGCCUUUAGAGAUUGAAUUCACAUAUUUAAUAUUGGUUGAAGAAUUAGCAUAUGAGGGGAGUGGGGAUAGUAGCGGAUAGGAAAGGUAGCAGAAUAUAACAGUCACUAAUAUGGCAUCAUGUAAAAAUUUGGAUGUGUAACCGAUGUGAUUCUGCAAUCUGUAUUUGGGGUAAAAAUGGGAGUUCAUAACCUACUUGAAUCUAAUGUGUGAAAUAUGAU
rnacentral:lncRNA from 1 species